GACGAACGCUGGCGGCGUGCCUAAUACAUGCAAGUCGAGCGGACAGAUGGGAGCUUGCUCCCUGAUGUUAGCGGCGGACGGGUGAGUAACACGUGGGUAACCUGCCUGUAAGACUGGGAUAACUCGGGAAACGGGCUAAUACCGGAUGCUUGUUUGAACCGCAUGGUUCAAACAUAAAAGGUGGCUUCGGCUACCGACUUACAGAUGGACCCGCGGCGCAUUAGCUAGUUGGUGAGGUAAUGGCUCACCAAGGCGACGAUGCGUAGCCGACCUGAGAGGUGAUCGGCCACACUGGGGACUGGAGACACGGCCCAGACUCCUACGGGAGCAGCAGUAGGGAAUCUUCCGCAAUGGCAAAGCUGACGAGCAACG
rnacentral:rRNA from 1 species